rnacentral:rRNA from 1 species
CAAUAGCGUAUAUUUAAGUUGUUGCAGUUAAAAAGCUCGUAGUUGGAUUUCGGAUGGGAUUUGCCGGUCCGUCGUUACGAUGUGCACUGGCCAGUCCUAUCUUGUUGUCGGGGACUAGCUCCUUGGAUUCACUUCCUGGGACUAGGAGCUGACGAGGUUACUUUGAGUAAAUUAGAGUGUUCAAAGCAAGUCUACGCUCUGAAUACAUUAGCAUGGAAUAACACGAUAGGACUCUGGCUUAUCUUGUUGGUCUGUGAGACCAGAGUAAUGAUUAAGAGGGACAGUCGGGGACAUUCGUAUUUCAUUGUCAGAGGUGAAAUUCUUGGAUUUAUGAAAGACGAACUUCUGCGAAAGCAUUUGUCAAGGAUGUUUUCAUUAA